GUCAAAUCUGUUGCUAAUAUUGUGCUUAAAAAGCCAACUCCAAAGAAGCCAGAACUUUACGUAGAGCUCUAAAAGCUGCUGAAAAUGACAACUUUGAGGAAACGGAAGGACUGCUCUAUGCACCAGGCAUAGCUGAUUAAUAUGACUUUGGAAGGCUGUGUGUUUCCCCGAACCAACUCAUCUUUUCUUUGAGGACUCCAUAUUGACGUCAAAAAUUUUAAACAAAUUAAUGUAAAAUUAACUU